CCAGGCCAGCUGCCCCUCGACGGGCAACUCCAGGCAGGGCCUGAGGUCUCAGCCCUGCCCUGUCUGUAAGCCUCCAAGCACGUAGCUUUGAGCUGUCUGAGGGUAACGCUUUCCCGAGCUAAAAUUUCUGACCCCUGACAUUGGCCUUGAACAAGAUGGAGGCUUUGGAAUCUGAGGGUGUGAGUCGCAUUGCUGUGGACUAUGUGGAAGGCAUCCUGCAGCCCACGCCCACUUGUGACUCCUGGGAUCAGAUCUGGAGCUUCCAAGCCAGGCCUGACGACCUGCUCAUCUCUACCUACCCGAAAGCAGGAACAACGUGGACGCAGGAGAUUGUGGACUUGAUACAAAACGGGGGUGAUGUCAACCAAAGCCAGAGGGCACCCACACAUGAGCGAUUUCCCUUCAUCGAGUGGAUAAUCCCUUCCCUAGGAUCUGUGUGCUGGGGCUCCUGGUUCGACCAUGUGAAGGGCUGGUGGCACGCCAAGGACCAGCACCGCAUCCUCUACCUCUUCUAUGAGGACAUGAAGGAGAACCCAAAGCAUGCAAUUCAGAAGCUGGCAGAAUUUAUUGGAAAGAGCUUAGAUGAUAAAGUUCUGGAUAAAAUUGUUCACCACACUUCAUUUAGCGUCAUGAAGCAGAACCCGAUGGCAAACUACACAUCGAUUCCGGCUGAAUUCAUGAACCAGUCGAUUUCUCCAUUCAUUAGAAAAGGGGUCGUCGGGGAUUGGAAGAACCACUUCACCGUGGCCCAGAACGAGAGAUUUGAUGAUGAUUACAGGAAGAACAUGGCUGACACCACUCUAACUCUCCACUUUCGAUUCUCUUAAGGAAGGAAAAGCAUCAGAUUUAAUUGGUAUAAAUGUUGAUUGCCCUGACCUCGUGAUAUUGAAUUCAGGUGGAGGGACUAAGUGCUUCUUGUGUCUGCUUUUGUUCACACUAAAAAAAGAUGGAGCUAACAGUGGUUGGGGCCAGGUGGAAGGCGGAGACUUGCAACCCUGGCAUCCUUACUAAUGAUCGUGAUGCAUCAGUUUUCUACAGACCACACGCGUGUGAACACGUUAAAUAUGCUCUGGUCAUCACAUAAGAAUAUACUCAAGUUUUCAGAUUC
rnacentral:lncRNA from 1 species